GACGAACGCUGGCGGCGUGCUUAACACAUGCAAGUCGAGCGGUAAGGCUCCUUCGGGAGUACACGAGCGGCGAACGGGUGAGUAACACGUGAGCAAUCUGCCCUUCACUUCGGGAUAACUCCGGGAAACCGGUGCUAAUACCGAAUACGACCACUUCAGGCAUCUGAUGGUGGUGGAAAGUUCCGGCGGUGAAGGAUGAGCUCGCGGCCUAUCAGCUUGUUGGUGGGGUAACGGCCCACCAAGGCAACGACGGGUAGCCGGCCUGAGAGGGUGACCGGCCACACUGGGACUGAGACACGGCCCAGACUCCUACGGGAGGCAGCAGUGGGGAAUAUUGGACAAUGGGCGAAAGCCUGAUCCAGCAACGCCGCGUGAGGGAUGACUGCCUUCGGGUUGUAAACCUCUUUCAGCAGGGACGAAGCGCAAGUGACGGUACCUGCAGAAGAAGCACCGGCCAACUACGUGCCAGCAGCCGCGGUAAUACGUAGGGUGCGAGCGUUGUCCGGAAUUAUUGGGCGUAAAGGGCUCGUAGGCGGUCUGUCGCGUCGGGAGUGAAAACUCAGGGCUUAACCCUGAGCCUGCUUCCGAUACGGGCAGACUAGAGGUAUGCAGGGGAGAACGGAAUUCCUGGUGUAGCGGUGGAAUGCGCAGAUAUCAGGAGGAACACCGGUGGCGAAGGCGGUUCUCUGGGCAUUACCUGACGCUGAGGAGCGAAAGUGUGGGGAGCGAACAGGAUUAGAUACCCUGGUAGUCCACACCGUAAACGUUGGGCGCUAGGUGUGGGACUCAUUCCACGAGUUCCGUGCCGCAGCUAACGCAUUAAGCGCCCCGCCUGGGGAGUACGGCCGCAAGGCUA
rnacentral:rRNA from 1 species